AGCUAGGUGGACUCAAUUCUUCUGGUGAAGAGGUGUUUCUGUAAUAAUAACAAAAAGAAAUAAACACAGCUGGUAUUAAUUGGCAGCAGUAGUAACCCUUAUUGCAAACCUCAUUAAAGAGGCUGAUUUUGUAAAUGAUGUGGAGUUAGUUACCACCUUGCCUCUAGAAAUGAUGUCCAGAUAAGGUGGAGACGCCCCAGUAGAGCUGUUUUCACUACAGCUGCCCUGAGUGGUUCUGGAGGUGGUUACCGCAGCUCGGCCACAGAAAUUACCCGUGUGGCACCUUUCCAAACCGUUCUUGAAGAUGAAAGCACUACAAAAGAAAAAUUACAUGUCAUCAGCCUUGUUCAUCUGCAACUCCCAAAGUCUUACUGGAGUGGUCCUGAUCCUGUUCUCGAGAGAAUGGAAGAUGGAGAGCAAUGGUACCGAAGUCAGCAGAGUCACAUCGAUGUAACCCUGAGCUGAGGUCACAAAGAUGACAAAAAAAGGCCUCGGUCUGACUGGUGUAACACCAGGACUGAGCCUUAGACCCCCAUGCCCUGGUUGCUGCAGCUGUUCCACAACGUUAGUGUCUUUAUACACGUUUCGUCAAAAGGAAAUGUAAACAUCUGCUACGUUCAUAUCCUGGGGCACUGUGCGAUGCAUCUGCAGGAGCUUAAUGCUCAGGCUGAUCAUCUCCGGUGCCUCUAUA